ACUUGAACAAAUGAAAAAUGGUUGUUCCAMUAAAAUUUUAAAUACAUAUUGAUUAUGACGAUAUGUAUAAAAGUCUCGACUAAAUAUGUGCCAGCUGUCGCGGUAAUACAUAUGAGACUAGUGUUAUUCAUCUUAAAUAGGUUUAAAGGGUACUCAGACGGUCAAGAUAUCUAAGUAUAAUAAGUAAUAAUUGACUAGAGUUUUAUAUAAGAAGGUAGUACUUAAAGAGUAGAGAUUAAAUUCUUUUAUACUUAAGGGACAUAUAAAUGCUAAUGCGACCUUUUAGGUAAAAACUGACGUUAAAGGACGAAGGCAAAGGGCACGAAUAGGAUUAGAGACCCUAGUAGUCUUUGCAGUAAAUUAUGAAUGCCAUAGUAUAGAAAAUUAAUAUAAACUCAAAUUGAUUAUAUAUAUAUAUAUUURUACUAUAAAUGAAAGUGUAAGCAUUUCACCUCAAGAGUAAUGUGGCAACGCRGGAACUGAAAUCACUAGACCGUUUCUGACACCAGCAGUGAAGUAUGUUGUUUAAUUCGAUAAUCCACGAAAAACCUUACCACAAUUUGAAUGUUUAUUUUUAAAUAAUAAAAAUUUCAGCUAGGAAUACUAGCACRGGAGUUGCACGGCUGUUUCCAGUUAAUAKUGUGAAAUUAUGGUUUUCCAUGAAAUUAACGAAAUCCUUGGCUUUAUUUUAAAUAUUUACCAUAAAGCAUUKUGUCWUAUAUUAUUAURAGACU
rnacentral:rRNA from 1 species